rnacentral:lncRNA from 1 species
CUCUGAGUAGCUGAUGUUCCAUUAAAAUACCUCAAAGAAAAACUCGUGUUUUUCAACUGUAGUUGAAGAGAACACAUCAGUACGUGAAUGAUAUAAUCUUAUUGAGUUAUGAUUGGCGAAUCUUAAUCCAAAUGAUAAUUGCGGUUGAAUACAAUAGUGAAGUUGCAAUAAAGUCAAGAUCGGAGGUUUGAUUCCAUUUCCCCAACAAUCAUCAAAAGAAAGAAAAUGAGGGAGUUGUUCUUUACUUGCUUCUGAUUAUUUUCGUUAAUUUUGCACAAUUACAAAACUGAAACUAUUGUAUUUUUUGUUCUUUGAUAAUGGAUUAUUCUACUAGUGGCAUGGGACCCGUGGAUGUUUCCCUUAUGAUUUUCCACGUUAUACUUGGUGUUCAUCUUUAUUUAAUUCCAUAAUAGAUUAUAUAUUGUAGAACACAUAUCUGUUAAAUUGCCCCAAUUAGAAUUGUGUGUAAAAUUGUCUGUAAAAAGUUCUGACAUAUUCUGACUGAAACGAAUAAUUGAGAUAAAUUGAUUAAUUAACUAGGUUUUAGAACGUUGAAGUUGUUUAUUUAUAUGUGAUUGUUGCACUAUAUCAUUUAAGUGAUCAAGUGCCUUUGAUAACUUUCAUAUAUUUUAAACCGAUGUUAGCUUCAUAAAAUGUAGUGUGUCACUCCUUAUAUUUUGAUCGAGAGUUAUGAUUGAUGAAUGAGGGUUGACACUUUAUUCAUGGUUGUCGUGUUGACUAUUCCACCUCUUCGGUGAGCAAUUUGUCCUUAAUUGCAUAAUAUUGUUUUGUCCUAAUUGCAUAAUACUAUUUUUUGAGUGUGAUAUUUGUGUACUCGAUGAGCAUUGGACUAAUCCAUGUGUUAGAAUAUAAUAUUAUAUAAUGAUUAAGAAGAAUUAAAUUUCACGUGACCGUAGUAUUAAUUAUAUAGAUUGUAAACAAGAUCCUUUACACUAAUCGCUUGCUUGAAUAUUAUUUGAUAUACCAAUACGUGAAACUAAUUUUUGUGUUAAAAUACCUCGACGUGUUGUGAAUCAUAUAGUAUAUCAGCAAAGUAGUGGGUUAUUAUUGGCUUUAGAAAAUAAAAAGGAUUUAAGAAGUCCUUUCAAGUAUUUUCUGUUUGACGAUAAAUCAAAUCUCAGUUUUUAGCAUUGGAUAACAUGUAUCAGAAAUCAUUGGGGAAAAACUAAAAAGAACUCAAGGAAAAAAUCAUUUGAAGGGCAAAACAGUCUUUUUAUCUUAAUUUGACACCAGGCAUGGGUAACACAGUAGUUCAGCGGGCAUAAGGAAGUAAUUAUAUAAUUGUUUAUGUGAUUUUAUUUAUUUAUUUAUUUUUUAAUAAUUUUAGAGUGUAGUUUUGCGCAUUUAGUGGAGCAACAGGCGGUUAAGAAUUGGAUUGGAAAAGGAGUAGGUGAUACCUAUUUAUUAGAUUUUAAAUUAUAUAAAUCCUACCACGUCGCUUUUGUAGCUCCUAAAGUUUUAGGACUUGAGACUCCAUUUGAUUGUAAGAACGAAAUUUGGGUGAAAAAAAAAUAAAUUUCAG